GAGACACCCUAUGGAGAAGGAUUUGCUUCAGUGGGGCUUUGGUGCUCACUGAGUCUGCCCCUUGAGUGUGUUGCU
rnacentral:pre_miRNA from 1 species